rnacentral:rRNA from 1 species
GUGUCAGCAGCCGCGGUAAUACGUAGGGUGCGAGCGUUAAUCGGAAUUACUGGGCGUAAAGCGUGCGUAGGUGGUUCGUUGUGUCUGUGGUGAAAGCCCCGGGCUUAACCUGGGAAUGGCCAUGGAAACUGGCGAGCUGGAGUCUGGCAGAGGGGGGUGGAAUUCCGCGUGUAGCAGUGAAAUGCGUAGAGAUGCGGAGGAACACCGAUGGCGAAGGCAGCCCCCUGGGCUAAGACUGACGCUGAGGCACGAAAGCGUGGGGAGCAAACAGGAUUAGAUACCCUGGUAGUCC